rnacentral:ribozyme from 14 species
ACACAUAUGUAUUUAUCUUUGCGCUGACCCACUUCUCUCCCUUCUUCUUCUUUUUCUUCUUCUUUUUCUCAAGCUUUGCUGCAUCUUGCUGAACAGACAUGGUGGAGUUGGCGUCCUGAGGUGCUU